ACGAGUUAGGGUCUCUUAGGCCCGACCUCCCAACCCUUUGUUUACUGAACCUCUGUUGCUUCGGCGGGCCCGUCUCACGACCGUCGGAGGACUGCCGAGAGGCGUCCUCUGGCCCGCGUCCGCCGAGAGCCCCUCUUAAAACUCUUGAAUGAAUCGUGUUAUAUGUCUAAGUCAAUGAUUUGAAUAAAAAGCA
rnacentral:misc_RNA from 1 species